rnacentral:tRNA from 1 species
ACCUGGCUGGCUCAGUCAGUAGAGCAUGAGACUCCUGAUCUCAGGAUUGUGAGUUCAAAGCCCUAUGCUGGGUG